AGAAAUAAUAUAGAUAAAGCUUCUAACUUUAUAAUAAUGAAUUAAAUAUUCAUUUUAUUUCUU
rnacentral:tRNA from 1 species